UGCCGCGUGAGUGAUGAAGGCCUUCGGGUCGUAAAGCUCUUUUACCCGGGAUGAUAAUGACAGUACCGGGAGAAUAAGCCCCGGCUAACUCCGUGCCAGCAGCCGCGGUAAUACGGAGGGGGCUAGCGUUGUUCGGAAUUACUGGGCGUAAAGCGCACGUAGGCGGUUACUCAAGUCAGAGGUGAAAGCCCGGGGCUCAACCCCGGAACUGCCUUUGAAACUAGGUGACUAGAAUCUUGUAGAGGCGAGUGGAAUUCCGAGUGUAGAGGUGAAAUUC
rnacentral:rRNA from 1 species